GACAACGCUGGCGGCGUGCUUAACACAUGCAAGUCGAACGGUGACGAGGAGCUUGCUCCUCCGAUCAGUGGCGAACGGGUGAGUAACACGUGAGUAACCUGCCCCAGACUCUGGGAUAACAGUUGGAAACAGCUGCUAAUACCGGAUACGAGACGGAGAGGCAUCUCUACCGUCUGGAAAGUUUUUCGGUCUGGGAUGGACUCGCGGCCUAUCAGCUUGUUGGUGAGGUAAUGGCUCACCAAGGCGACGACGGGUAGCCGGCCUGAGAGGGCGACCGGCCACACUGGGACUGAGACACGGCCCAGACUCCUACGGGAGGCAGCAGUGGGGAAUAUUGCACAAUGGGCGAAAGCCUGAUGCAGCGACGCCGCGUGAGGGAUGACGGCCUUCGGGUUGUAAACCUCUUUCAGCAGGGAAGAAGCGAAAGUGACGGUACCUGCAGAAGAAGCACCGGCUAACUACGUG
rnacentral:rRNA from 1 species